rnacentral:lncRNA from 1 species
AGAAGCUGGAAUCUUAGGACAAUAAAGUCACCUAAGUUUCUGCAAGACAGGCCAUACGUGUUCACUAUAUUUCCCAAACAACUCUACAGAGUUCAUGACUACUAAAGAAAUCUGGAUGAUAAGAACCGCCUCUCAGUGUUGUAUUGAGAACUAGUUUGUGUAAUCUGUUAUGUAUGUUACUCUUACGGCACAUCUCCAUCUGGACCAGCCACAUCUUAAGUGUUCAAUAGUCGCAUGUGACUAAUGGCUUCUGUAUUGGACAGUUGGUCUAGAACUAAACCGACAAUGUCGCCAAGGUGUGCCAGUAUAAGGACAGACUGAAAGAAUCACUGGAUCUGGACCUCAGUACGUGAACUUGCUCCUGCCAUAAGAGUUGUUUCCACAGGGCAUUCAGUCAUGGAACAGUUGCCAUUUUAGGAAGUAAGGUGGAAGAUCAGAGAACUCCUUCCUUUUGUCUGCUCCUAAUCAGCACCUUAGGUAAUUGUGAAUAAGAUCCUCCAGAAAGGUCAGUUAGUUCCUAUUCUCUUAGAGAUUUCAAGAACUUAAUGAAUGGUGAGAACAUCACCAGCAUAAGCAGUGUAUUUUCAGCCGAAGGCCAUUUUUUAAUCACAGGCUUAAUACCCACUGAAUCCAGGAUACAGUCAGCAUGGAAUUAAUUUAAUCCUUGUAAAAUGGCUAAACUCAGAGUGGUCAAAAGGGAAAAAAAAAAUAACUAACACUUUUAUGGGACUUAUGAUAGGCCACACUUUGUCUAAGCACUCAGCAUUUAUUAAUUUACUUCAUCUUCACAGGAUGAAGUUGGGUAUUACCAUUUUCUCCUUUAACAACUGAGGAACCUGAGCACAGAAAGACUGAAGAAUUUGUCUAAGAUUAAGCACUUAGUAAGCAAUGGGACCGAGUGGGAUUCAAACCCAGGCAGUCUAGAAUCUUAGUCUAUGCUUUUACCACAAUGUUAUAUCACUUCUCAAAUAUAUUUAGCUCCAGAUAAGACCACUGAGUCCCAGUGAAGAAACGUGUUUUGGUGUUUCCUUUCUUAUAUAAGACUGGAGCUUGCCAGUAGGAAGUAGUAUCUGAGGAAAUCUUCUGGCAUAUAAAUUAACCAGCGAGUAAUUUACCUACAGAAAUCACAAAAUGACCAAUGGCCAAAUCCCAAGUUUCACAAAAACUUGAAUUAAAAUGCUUUCCUUAACCUUUCAGAAAUCUCACUUAAAUUUCCACAUAGCCAGUUUUUCUGGACCUGUAUCCUUACCAGAUUGACAGCACUAUGUUGGUGUCCAGUAGCUGCUGCUCCUUUUAGGUCAGAUUGUGCUCCUGUGUUUAUUAUAGCUCUUCAUAGCUCCUACCAUAACUGGCUGCAUGAAGUUGGGCCCUCUGAUCCACUGCUUCAUGCUCUCAUUCUUCCUAAAUUGUACAAGCUGAGGGUUGGGAAGGACCUACUCUAAGGGAUACUUCUAUGUUUUUGAAGACUGAUGUUUAUACAAUAUUGGUAACUCAAGGAAAAUAAUAUAAAA